GACGAACGCUGGCGGCGUGCUUAACACAUGCAAGUCGAACGGAAAGGCCUUUUCGGAGGUACUCGAGUGGCGAGCGGGUGAGUAACACGUGGGUGAUCUGCCCUGCACUCUGGGAUAAGCCUGGGAAACUGGGUCUAAUACCGGAUAGGACCGCACUUUAGUGUGUGUGGUGGAAAGUUUUUUCGGUGUAGGAUGAGCCCGCGGCCUAUCAACUUGUUGGUGGGGUAAUGGCCUACCAAGGCGGCGACGGGUAGCCGGACUGAGAGGUUGGUCGGCCACAUUGGGACUGAGAUACGGCCCAGACUCCUACGGGAGGCAGCAGUGGGGAAUAUUGCACAAUGGGCGCAAGCCUGAUGCAGCGACGCCGCGUGGGGGAUGACGGCCUUCGGGUUGUAAACUCCUUUCGCCAGGGACGAAGCGUUUUGUGACGGUACCUGGAGAAGAAGCACCGGCUAACUACGUG
rnacentral:rRNA from 1 species